rnacentral:tRNA from 1 species
GGUGAGUUAUUCAAGUGGUUAAAGAGAUCGGAUUGUAAAUCCGCCGGCUAUGCCUUCGAAGGUUCAAAUCCUUCACUCACCACCA